UAAUUGGAGAGUUUGAUCCUGGCUCAGAAUGAACGCUGGCGGCGUGCUUAACACAUGCAAGUCGCACGAGAACUCUUCUGCUUGCAGAAGAUAGUAAAGUGGCGCACGGGUUGGGUAAUCUACCUCAGAAUUGGGGAUAACAUUGUGAAAGCGAUGCUAAUACCGAAUAAUAUCUCGAGAACUUAGGCUUUUGGGAUCAAAGGUGGCCUCUACAUGUAAGCUACUGUUUUGAGAUGAGCCCGCGUACCAUUAGCUUGUUGGUAGGGUAAUGGCCUACCAAGGCAACGAUGGUUAGCUGGUCUGAGAGGAUGAUCAGCCACACUGGAACUGACACACGGUCCAGA
rnacentral:rRNA from 1 species